UAUUAUAAAGACCAGCCAACGCAGUUCUUGAACCAUUUCACCUGAUGAAAAGAACUUGAAAGCUUGUAUCACAUAUGCAUCACUUCUGCAACAUUAAAGUACAGUAGUCCUAAUACAGUAAAAGGAUCACUUACAGCAAAAUAAGUUGGCCAAUUCUUAGUGAAGAUUCCAGAAGGACACCUAUAUCUACAUUCAGGAAAAGCUGAGACCGCAGAUGUAAUUGAAGAUUUCAUGUUUGUGACACCAUAAAGAUGCUGACGAAAAUCUGUUCAGGACCAUGAAGUCAAGGCUUUUUGUACUUCAUACCCAACACAAUGAUGCAGU
rnacentral:lncRNA from 1 species